UGGGGAAUAUUGCACAAUGGGCGCAAGCCUGAUGCAGCCAUGCCGCGUGUGUGAAGAAGGCCUUCGGGUUGUAAAGCACUUUCAGCGAGGAGGAAGGUGGUGGACUUAAUACGUUCAUCAAUUGACGUUACUCGCAGAAGAAGCACCGGCUAACUCCGUGCCAGCAGCCGCGGUAAUACGGAGGGUGCAAGCGUUAAUCGGAAUUACUGGGCGUAAAGCGCACGCAGGCGGUUUGUUAAGUCAGAUGUGAAAUCCCCGGGCUCAACCUGGGAACUGCAUUUGAAACUGGCAAGCUAGAGUCUCGUAGAGGGGGGUAGAAUUCCAGGUGUAGCGGUGAAAUGCGUAGAGAUCUGGAGGAAUACCGGUGGCGAAGGCGGCCCCCUGGACGAAGACUGACGCUCAGGUGCGAAAGCGUGGGGAGCAAAACAGGAUUAGAUACCCUGGUAGUCCACGCUGUAAAACGAUGUCGAUUUUGGAGGUUGUGCCCUUGAGGCGUGGCUUCCGGAGCUAACGCGUUAAAUGACCGCCUGGGGAGUACGGCCGCAAGGUU
rnacentral:rRNA from 1 species